AGUUGGUCCAGCAAAUCUGUCCUGUUUUGGACUAACCUGGAAAUUCUGGACAAUUACCUAUCCGACCAAUUUUGGCAAAAUUGCCAUAACUGGGGCUACAGAAAUGCAAAUUAGGUGAUUCUAAAGCCAAAUUUCUCAAAAGACAUAGAACUAAAAAUUUCAUAUUUUGAACAAAACCCAGAUCCUAAAGCAACUUAGGGAAAUGGUUAGGAGAAAUCAGGAAUUCCCAACCUGAAAUUCCUGCAUUAGAACUAUUUUGCCAUUUGACACCAGGACAGUAAUUAGACCAUAACUUUCACUAGAAAAUUCCAAAUGAGAUGAACCAAAAUGAUAUGGAAACCUAAGAAUUAGGAAUACAACUUUGGUUUAGAAAUUGCUCAAAUUUUGGGUGUAAAACCCUUAAAUAUUAAUUGUAAUGCUGACCUGAAACCUGAAAUUCUGGAGUUGUAGGAUUUAUGAGUCCAGGUUGGUUAAUUAGCUAUAACUUACUCUACACAACUUCAAAUUUAGUGAUUCUUGAACCUGUGUAACCAUGAGGUACAGGAGAACAACUUAUAUGAAGAACACCAAGCGAAAUUAUGAUUGUAACUUGUCCAAUUAGCUUGAUAAAUUUGAGUUCUAGAAUCUGCCUUGUUCUGGAACAAUAUUGGUCAUUGAACCAGUACUUGAUAAAUUGACCAUAACUAGAGCUACAAAACCUCAAAUUGAAUGAUUCAAAAAGGGAAUUAAAGUUCAAACAUAGGGAAACAACUUUCGUAAAGAAAGUGAGGCCAAAUUGAUUCUACAUCUUGGCCAAAUUGUUAGGGAAAGUUAAAACAACAAUUCUGAAAAUUCAUGAAAUUUUCAUAAAUGACUUGAAAUGUGAUAAAAACUUGACAUAAAUAGAUUAAUGAUCACAUGAACCAUAUGAAUAGGUGAUUGGGACUUAUGUUCCAGCUAUGAAUAGUAUACUAAUGCUAUGAGCAUGAAUAACACAUGAAAUGAAAUAAUAAAUAUAAAGAUGUUAAAAUUGCCCUUGUAUGCCUAGACUUGUGUGUAUGAGUUGGAUCGAUUGGCAUGCCAAUUAGGGACCACAGAUGCAGUACUGCUCAUGGCUUUUGAGCCUAUUUCACGGAUGAUCAUUGAUGGACAAUGUAUAUUUGAUAUGAUUGUUCUUCUGGCUAUUAUGUCCAUCCGCUAACUUUAUGUCUAACAUGUUUUACUGGUUUUUAUGCUUGCUCGUUGGCUUUAUGCCUGACAGAUGUAUACCUGAUAAGCACAUGGGGUGUCUAACUAGUAUACUCCCGUGUAUCCAGUCUUUAUAGUCUGUCAUAGGUUACUUGGGCACAAAUAUGAGUAAUGAGUCUUAAAUUUAAUUAAGUUUCGAAAAGAUUACAGAUAUGAGUAAUAGGCUGUAAAAAUCAAUUGAUUAUAUGAAGAGAUCCCAGUAAAUUAAUAUGUUCCAUAAAUUAAUAUGCUCCUAUGGAGCAGCUAAAGUUAUGAAACGACUCAUAAGUAAUAAGAUUUAAAAAUUAAAUAAUUAUAUGAAGAGACCACUGAUACGAAAUUAAGAAGACUGAAAAUGGAAUAAAUUAUUAGAAAAGAUCUCGACAAGUUUAAUUGCUUUCAAAGUUCAGUAAACAUGUAAUUGACUCAGAGUCCAUGAAAUAUGUAUCUCUAUAUGAAAUUAUACAUGAAAUAAUUAUUCUUGAUUAUUCAGUUAUUUUUAUUUUAAAUUAUGCACCACUAAGCAAUAUGCUUAGCGCGAUGAAUUGUUUCAUCGCGUAGGUAUUGGAAAGAUUGACCAGUAGAGUUCAGACAGAGAUUCUGAGCAGAUUUGCACUAGUGUGGGAGUCACCUCAACAGAGUAUUUUGGUAUGGCCCAUGUGUAUUUAGAUUUUGUAUUUUUAAUUUCUGUACAUAAGUCAAAGAUGUAAUUCAUUUUAAAACUGUAAUAUAAAUAGUAAAUUAUUGUAUAUAAAUUCUAUUAAUAAAAGCAAAUGUGUUUUACAUAAAUUGAUUCUAUUAAUAAAAGUAUAUAAAAUUAUUGUAUAUUGAACGAUCUCGAUUAUUUGUUGUCUGUCCAUAUAAUGCAUACAACUUUGAUUGUUGAUUGAGCCGAUUCGAUAGGUUUAUUUGAAUCAGUAGUUUAUCAUCCCUUUAACCCGUUCUCAAUCAAUGUAGAGAUAAAGUAUGAUUGUAAUACCCUUUAUAACUCGUUUAGAAAUAACUAAUUUAUAAGGUGACUGAAAUAUUAUAAAAGAAACCAUAACAAAUUCGAAUAUUUAGAAUUAUGAAGGCGCGGAGACACCAUACUAUUAAAUUCACAGAACAUAAGACCACAUGCCAUAUAUAUAUAUAAAUUAAACUAUCAAAGUAGAACAAAAUUAUUUAUAUAUUAAAUAGGAGAGGCAUUAAAUUAAUUAUAUGAAAAAAAAGUACUUAUUCAACAUAUUAAUUGAAGUGGCUACAAUCGAUUAAUUAAUAACUACGCAUAUAUAUAUAUAUAUAUAUUAAUAUAUGGCAUGAAAUAAAUAAUAAGGAAAAGAAAAACUAAAUGAACGGGUAAAGAACACGCUUGACGAUAUAAUUAGCAAUGAUCUGAUUAGUUUUCUGGGUGGGAUGGAAAGAAUCCCAAAACACGUACUUGUCUGCAUUUGCGCAUGUAAAUAGAUUGUUUCUAUUGCAUGCAUACCCCAUCUCAAACAUUCCUGUUGCGCAACAUGCCACUGAUGUCUCGUCAAAUCCAUAUGAAGCGGGAUUUCUGAUGAUAUGCAAAAAAACGUAAUAUGGGUUGGAGAAGAUGAGUUGGACUCCAGGAAGUUCCUUGUUCAGCUUAUUCACCAAAUUGUAUAACUUGCCAUUGAAGUCCAUGGCCACAAUGUUGUAGCUCUCCACACAUUCAUUUCCGUUCAUCAUGUUUGUGGUUCUUUCCAAUGGCAUACACCCCAUUGGAGGGAGCCCUCCAAGGGAUAUUUUUCGAGCACCUAGACCAUAAAGUUUCCUGACAAAACUUUCGGCAAUUCCUGCAAGGAAAAUUUGGUAUUGUGAGAUGCUGUACUCAGAUGAUCGGCCUCCUGGAAAUGCAUAGUAGUUUUCCACGAAGUCAUUUGUUCCUAUGCUUAUCAGGUACAGAGCCUCUGAUAUAGUUUGGCUAGCUUUGUUUUCUCCAAGAUAGCCUUUCAAUCUCCUCUGAUAGUCCUUGUAAUACUCCAGUUGCUUCCAAAAUGGUAUCACAGAAAGCACAUCAGAAGUGGCAUUAUCAUAGCCAGUUGCAGCAGAAGCAAAACUAACUCCAACAGCAAAGUCUGAAAUGCCAUAAGCUGGAUCUAAGUAGGCUGGUACAGUUGGCUUGAGCCCUAAAGCCUCUGAGAUAAAAUCAGUAGCUAUUCUACCAUUUGAGAAUCUUCCAGUCGGCCUGCCACCUUGAAAGUCACGACCAUAAGGCUCAAAAUUGCUCCUGGCAACAGUAGGAAUAUAGUCAUUAUUCCCAGAAUCCACAGAAGAGUCUCCAAACACGAUUAAAGCUGGGAUUUUGGCCUCGAUUGUGGUUAUCAGUACUAGAAAUGGACUCAACAAUAGCCAAGAACCAUAUUUGUUCCCCAUGUUUUUUCUCUCUUGUUUGUGUAUGAUCACUAUAAGCUGGCGUGGUGUAGGGUUAAGGAUCUUGUGACAAAUAAAUACUGGUGGGAAAGUAGAGGUUUGGUUUUCAAGUUAGUUUUCUCUCUCUCUCCUCUGGGGAGGAAGGUCGUUGGCAGUUUUAAUUGCUAAAGAAAAGAUGCAGCCAAUCCAAGUUUGCUAAUAUGAAAACAUCUUGCUUUUAUUUAUAUUUCAUAAGGACUUGAAUACAAAGGUCUCAAAUUAAACUGAAACGGAGAGGAUUUGAUUAUUUAAUUUCUUUUAUUAAGUGAUUGCUUCUUGACUGAAAAUAGUAGGGCAAGAAAAAAAAAUCCAAUUGUCC
rnacentral:misc_RNA from 1 species